rnacentral:rRNA from 1 species
CGUGGGUGACCUGCCCUGGAGUGGGGAAUAACUCUGCGAAAGCAGAGCUAAUACCGCAUAGGCUUCCCGGUUCAAGCGGGAAGCAAAGCCUUGUGCGCUCUAGGAGGGGCCUGCGGCAGAUUAGCUAGUCGGUGGGGUAAUGGCCUACCGAGGCGACGAUCUGUAGCUGGUCUGAGAGGAUGACCAGCCACACUGGGACUGAGACACGGCCCAG